rnacentral:rRNA from 1 species
GACGAACGCUGGCGGCGUGCCUAAUACAUGCAAGUCGAACGCAGUGGGGACGGGGGAGGAACACGUGGGUAACCUCCCAUCUGAGGGGAUAAAACUUGGAAACUGGUGCUAAACCGCUACUGAUGGAUGGACCCGCGGUGCAUUAGCUGGUGGGUGAGGUAACGGCUCACCAAGGCCACGAUGCAUAGCGGACCUGAGAGGGUGAUCGGCCACACUGUGACGGAUACACGGCCCAGACUCCUACGGGAGGCAGCAGUAGGGAAUAUUGGGCAAUGGACGAAAGCCUGACCGAGCCACGCCGCGUGAGGGAAGAAGGUUUUCGGAUCGUAAACUUCUGUUGUUAGGGAAGCGGUAUUUAACCAGAAAGCCACGGCUAACUACGUGCCAGCCGCCGCGGUAAUUC